GACGAACGCUGGCGGCGUGCUUAACACACGCAAGUCGAACGUGAUUUUUGUGGAAAUUCUUUCGGGAAUGGAAAUGAAAUGAAAGUGGCGAACGGGUGAGUAACACGUGAGCAACCUACCUUACACAGGGGGAUAGCCGUUGGAAACGACGAUUAAUACCGCAUGAGACCACAGAAUCGCAUGAUAUAGGGGUCAAAGAUUUAUCGGUGUAAGAAGGGCUCGCGUCUGAUUAGCUAGUUGGAAGGGUAAAGGCCUACCAAGGCGACGAUCAGUAGCCGGUCUGAGAGGAUGAACGGCCACAUUGGAACUGAGACACGGUCCAAACUCCUACGGGAGGCAGCAGUGGGGAAUAUUGCACAAUGGGGGGAACCCUGAUGCAGCGACGCCGCGUGAGCGAAGAAGGUUUUCGAAUCGUAAAGCUCUGUCCUAUGAGAAGAUAANGACGGU
rnacentral:rRNA from 1 species